AUGUCUCAAACAUUCAUCAAACGCUUUACCGCUUUCCUGGAGAAUCAUAAGCCUAAGGAAGCUCUGAAACUUUUCACGUCGGAGAGUAAUGAAGUGAUCGAGGACUCUGUAAGCGAGAUUGUGUCUGUCACCGCUACUUAUCUCACGGAAUCUGACUCGCAAUCCGGACAAGAACUAUUUGAAUGCUGCAAGAAUGUAUUAAACAUCAUAGCAGAGAGAUGUAAUCCUAUGGAAACUGUACUGGAAUUUCUAGAACAGAUAGAAUGUUCGGAUAACGAUAUAAAAUUUUGUACCAUCUUGGAACCACUAGGUAUAUGUAUGAUGAAAAUGCAGGACAAGGGCAAGGCUAUUGAGUGGUGCAUCAAUACCAUCAAAUCAUAUAUCGAGGAUUUAGCAUCAUUGCACAAUGCUGAUAGCAGUAGACUUGUGAAUAUAUAUAAAAAAAUCAUAUUAUUUUUGGAACCACUGGUGCAAGAGGCAGUGAAGAUCAAUUAUAAACUCGAGGAGGGAUCACUGCUUGGGGAUUAUCUUUUGAGCUUUCUUAUUUCAUUGUGCGAGAAGCCUCUCUACUACUGGAAUAAAAACAUUGAAGGAGCAACAUAUAAAGAAUUCUCAGAGAAAAUAAUAACACUGUCAUUUUAUCUGACUGCAGAUAUAUUAUAUUUUUUGAACAUUGUUAGUAAACGUCGUAGAAAUAUCAUCUGCAACAAAGUGCAAGAUGGACAUUUAUACACUGAAAGUUAUAAACGUAGUAUGCUUUUUGAAUCAAGUGAUAACAUAUCGGAUUUGGCCUAUGCUAACUUUUAUUGUUACAUACUUACCAAUGAAGAUUAUUGGAAAAAAGCACCACAAAUUUAUAGUCCUUAUUACAUUUUUGAAACAUGCGCAUAUUUUUUUGAAAUUUUGCUUUGCAAAGAGGAAGACAUUGUAAUCUUGAAUGGGUUAAUUUUCAUGGAAACUGUUAUAAACCGUAUCUCAUCUCGAUCCGUAGAUUCUGAAGUGUUGGGACUAAAAAUAUAUUCAGAUUUGUUUAAGCCAAUUAUUAAAGUAAUGAUUUACUGUAAUGGUGAUGCAGAACGAAAAAAAGCAUUAUAUAUUUUUGAAAAAUAUAUCGAGAUAUUCAACAUGGAAGCUAGAUAUUCUGUUAUUUUAUAUUUGUAUGAAAUUAGUGAUCAUUCUGGUUUAUUGAGCUUGAUCAUUAAUAUAUUAAAAUCUUCUAUCAUCGAUUGUCUUAACUCGACUCCACGAAAUCUCCAGUUUCUAGGAAAGAAUUUAGAAUUGCUACUGAAAAAGAUAUGUAGUUUGCCACAUGGAAGUUCGACGGAUUUAGUGGAAAUAUCGGAUGAAGUUAUUACUGCACUAAACUUAUUAAGAUUCUUGUUUAUCAGAGAUAAACACAAUGAAACGGGUAUUUGGAAUAUUAUAGAUAUGCUAAAAAAUGAUUAUUUGAAUCCCUUGAGAGAGGGAAUAGAUUUGUGUAGAAUGCAUUGGAAAGUGAAAAUAAAAGACUUAGAGCACCAAAAAAAGGAUUAUAAUAAAAUACAUAAUUAUAAUGAGAUGAAAAAGGCUCACGCGGAAGUCACGUUGACCGUCGGUGGUGAACAAUUACCGGUGAUGCCACUUCCAGAAAAAAUUUCUUUCUGUUAUCAAGCGAUAAAUGGUUUGGAUGUAAUGGAAAGUAUUCUUAUCCGAAUUAAUGAAUGUAUAGAUGCUGAUAAAGAAUUCCCAUUGAAUACACUAGCGGAGUAAAAGUAUGAAAUCAAUCAAAAUCAUAAUUAAUAAUGGUAUACUGCUAAUUUUAUGGUUUUAGACGUUUAUGGACUUCCAGGGCUUUGCUGGUCGAUCAAUCUGAAAAUGAUAGUGACAAAAAAACAGGCCCGCAACAAUCUAUACACGAGGAGAAUGAUGAGGAAUAUGAGAAAAAUAUUAAAACAAAAAUA